CAAUAGCGUAUAUUAAAGUUGUUGCAGUUAAAAAGCUCGUAGUUGGAUUUCUGGUGGGAGCGAUCGGUCUGGCGCUUAGCGCGAGUACUUGCAUCGUCUCCGGCCAUCCUUGGGGAAAGUCUGUCUGGCAUUAAGUUGUCGGGCAGAGGAUCCUCAUCGUUUACUGUGAAAAAAUUAGAGUGUUCAAAGUAGGCUUAUGCCGUUGAAUAUAUUAGCAUGGAAUAAUAAGAUAGGACUUUGGUACUAUUUUGUUGGUUUGCGCACCAAAGUAAUGAUUAAUAGGGACAGUUGGGGGUAUUCGUAUUCCGUUGUCAGAGGUGAAAUUCUUGGAUUUACGGAAGACGAACUACUGCGAAAGCAUUUACCAAGGAUGUUUUCAUUAA
rnacentral:rRNA from 1 species